CAGGAGUACGUGUAGUCCCUCU
rnacentral:miRNA from 12 species